UACGUAGGGGGCAAGCGUUGUCCGGAAUCAUUGGGCGUAAAGAGCGUGUAGGCGGUUCAGUAAGUCUGCUGUGAAAGUCCAGGGCUCAACCCUGGGAUGCCGGUGGAUACUGCUGGGCUAGAGUACGGAAGAGGCGAGUGGAAUUCCCGGUGUAGCGGUGAAAUGCGCAGAUAUCGGGAGGAACACCUAUUGCGAAGGCAGCUCGCUGGGACGUUACUGACGCUGAGACGCGAAAGCGUGGGGAGCGAACAGG
rnacentral:rRNA from 1 species